rnacentral:rRNA from 4 species
GUGGACGCAUCACUGGUGUUCGGGUUGUCAUGCCAAUGGCACUGCCCGGUAGCUAAAUGCGGAAGAGAUAAGUGCUGAAAGCAUCUAAGCACGAAACUUGCCCCGAGAUGAGUUCUCCCUGAGACUUAAAGUCUCCUGAAGGAACGUUGAAGACGACGACGUUGAUAGGCCGGGUGUGUAAGCGCAGCGAUGCGUUGAGCUAACCGGUACUAAUGAACCGUGAGGCUUAACCUU